rnacentral:rRNA from 1 species
CUUUGUGGUUCACUGAUUUGAAGAGCUUGCUCAGAUAUGACGAUGGACAUUGCAAAGAGUGGCGAACGGGUGAGUAACACGUGGGAAACCUACCUCUUAGCAGGGGAUAACAUUUGGAAACAGAUGCUAAUACCGUAUAACAAUGACAACCGCAUGGUUGUUAUUUAAAAGAUGGUUCUGCUAUCACUAAGAGAUGGUCCCGCGGUGCAUUAGCUAGUUGGUAAGGUAAUGGCUUACCAAGGCGAUGAUGCAUAGCCGAGUUGAGAGACUGAUCGGCCACAAUGGGACUGAGACACGGCCCAUACUCCUACGGGAGGCAGCAGUAGGGAAUCUUCCACAAUGGGCGAAAGCCUGAUGGAGCAACGCCGCGUGUGUGAUGAAGGGUUUCGGCUCGUAAAACACUGUUGUAAGAGAAGAAUGACAUUGAGAGUAACUGUUCAAUGUGUGACGGUAUCUUACCAGAAAGGAACGGCUAAAUACGUGCCAGCAGCCGCGGUAAUACGUAUGUUCCAAGCGUUAUCCGGAUUUAUUGGGCGUAAAGCGAGCGCAGACGGUUAUUUAAGUCUGAAGUGAAAGCCCUCAGCUCAACUGAGGAAUUGCUUUGGAAACUGGAUGACUUGAGUGCAGUAGAGGAAAGUGGAACUCCAUGUGUAGCGGUGAAAUGCGUAGAUAUAUGGAAGAACACCAGUGGCGAAGGCGGCUUUCUGGACUGUAACUGACGUUGAGGCUCGAAAGUGUGGGUAGCAAACAGGAUUAGAUACCCUGGUAGUCCACACCGUAAACGAUGAGUGCUAGGUGUUUGAGGGUUUCCGCCCUUAAGUGCCGCAGCUAACGCAUUAAGCACUCCGCCUGGGGAGUACGACCGCAAGGUUGAAACUCAAAGGAAUUGACGGGGACCCGCACAAGCGGUGGAGCAUGUGGUUUAAUUCGAAGCAACGCGAAGAACCUUACCAGGUCUUGACAUCCCUUGACAACUCCAGAGAUGGAGCGUUCCCUUCGGGGACAAGGUGACAGGUGGUGCAUGGUUGUCGUCAGCUCGUGUCGUGAGAUGUUGGGGUUAAGUCCCGCAACGAGCGCAACCCUUAUUACUAGUUGCCAGCAUUCAGUUGGGCACUCUAGUGAGACUGCCGGUGACAAACCGGAGGAAGGUGGGGAUGACGUCAAAUCAUCAUGCCCCUUAUGACCUGGGCUACACACGUGCUACAAUGGCGUAUACAACGAGUUGCCAACCCGCGAGGGUGAGCUAAUCUCUUAAAGUACGUCUCAGUUCGGAUUGUAGGCUGCAACUCGCCUACAUGAAGUCGGAAUCGCUAGUAAUCGCGGAUCAGCACGCCGCGGUGAAUACGUUCCCGGGUCUUGUACACACCGCCCGUCACACCAUGAGAGUU